rnacentral:pre_miRNA from 1 species
UGUUUGGCCAGCUCGUGAUCGACUUCAUGCGGCGGCUCAAUCACUGGCCUGUCCAAACAGA